AACGAACGCUGGCGGCGUGCCUAACACAUGCAAGUCGAACGAGAAAGGGGCUUCGGCUCCGAGUAAAGUGGCGCACGGGUGAGUAACACGUAGGUAACCUGCCUCUAAGAUUGGGAUAACCUGUCGAAAGACGAGCUAAUACCGAAUAAGACCACGGCUUCCUCGGAAGCAGGGGUCAAAGGUAGCCUCUACUUGUAAGCUAUCACUUAGAGAUGGGCCUGCGUACCAUUAGCUAGNGGUGGGGUAACGGCCUACCAAGGCAAAGAUGGUUAGCUGGUCUGAGAGGAUGAUCAGCCACACUGGAACUGAGACACGGUCCAGACUCCUACGGGAGGCAGCAGUGGGAAUAUUGCGCAAUGGGCGAAAGCCUGACGCAGCAACGCCGCGUGAGUGAU
rnacentral:rRNA from 1 species